rnacentral:piRNA from 1 species
UACUACACAGUUGCUGUGUCUCAGCUGCU